ensembl:rRNA 5S_rRNA 5S ribosomal RNA
CCCAGAAACCACCACCCUGAACGUGCCCAAUCUUGUCUGAUCUCAGAAAAUAAGCAGGGUCCAGCCUGGUUAGUAUUUGUAUGGGAGUCUUGUUAAGCCCAGAGUGUUUUCUGAGG